CGAGUUCCCGUACGAUCACCGAAGUUAAGCAACGUCAAUCCUGGUCAGUACCUAGAUGGGUAACCGCUUGGGAAUAUCAGGUGCUGUAAG